AGUGAACGCUGGCGGUAGGCCUAACACAUGCAAGUCGAACGGCAGCACAGGAGAGCUUGCUCUCUGGGUGGCGAGUGGCGGACGGGUGAGGAAUACAUCGGAAUCUACCUUUUCGUGAGGGAUAACGUAGGGAAACUUACGCUAAUACCGCAUACGACCUACGGGUGAAAGUGGGGGACCGCAAGGCCUCACGCGAUUAGAUGAGCCGAUGUCCGAUUAGCUAGUUGGCGGGGUAAUGGCCCACCAAGGCGACGAUCGGUAGCUGGUCUGAGAGGAUGAUCAGCCACACUGGAACUGAGACACGGGCCAGACUCCUACGGGAGGCAGCAGUGGGGAAUAUUGGACAAUGGGCGCAAGCCUGAUCCAGCCAUACCGCGUGGGUGAAGAAGGCCUUCGGGUUGUAAAGCCCUUUUGUUGGGAAAGAAAUCCUGUCGAUUAAUACUCGGUGGGGAUGACGGUACCCAAAGAAUAAGCACCGGCUAACUUCGUGCCAGCCGCCGCAGUAAGAC
rnacentral:rRNA from 1 species